CAUACGUUUGCACAUCUAUCAUAUCAUAGGCAGCCCAGAUGCCUCACUAUAAGUUUUUUUCUUAGACUUGAAGUCAGGUGGAUAGCUUAUUAGUUUGAAACAUUGUCCUUCCUAUGUCCUGUGAAUCUGCAGAACUCACACACCAACUCUUUCCAGAAUUUCCAACUCUUUCGAAGUUAUAGAAAAGCUCAACUCUUUUCAAAAUUUCCAGCACUGUAUUAUAGCGCAAUAGUUGAAUUUCCAGAAUUUCCAGCACUGUAUAAUAUUGCAGC
rnacentral:lncRNA from 1 species